CCUAGGGUUCGGAAAGUGAGAACGUGAGCUACGAGUGUCGUGAGUCCACCAAACUUCAGAAAGAACAUCAACAACCUCUCAAAUGCAUCUGCUGACCAUCCAGAGCAUCUGAGGAGUCAGCAGAUCAAGAUCGAAGGAGUUCGAUCAACAUCGGCCGUCAAAAGAGUUCUGCGACAAACUAGCAUUCGUGAGGAGCCGAUC
rnacentral:lncRNA from 1 species